UCACCCUGGUUUUCCAUUUCUUCACCCUGGUUUUCUCCGACCGUUCGGUCCAGUCUUCCACCUUCCUGGCCGUAGUGGCUGCCGUUGGGCAUUGCACCAUCCAAGGCAGAGGCACUGUACUUGGAGCAUCAAGACACCCAAGGAAGAAACGAUGCUUCUGCCUGCUAUAUCUUCACUGAUAAAAAGGGACUCGGGACUGAAUGUCUGUCGGGCACUGUAAAACUCCUCACUUAACAUCAUUGUGUUUAAAAGAUUGUAAUUUUGAGCUUUCCAGGUAUUACUACCAAGAUUCAUGAGAACUCUGCAAGGUUGCCUUCAUUUUAUGAGCAAAGAAACCAAGGUUCAGAGAAUUGAAGCAACUUUCUCAAGGAUACCCAACAAGUAGGUGAUAAAAGCACAACAUGAGUCCAAGCGCAGCUUACAAGAUCUUCCAGGGAGCGAAUUUGUGCCCCCUGCUGUGGAAGCGCACUAACCAUUGAACCGCCAGGAAAUCCCCCUUAAGGAUUUUUGAAUCAGCUUGUCAACCUGCAAAGAAGCCAGCCGGGGUUUUGAUUUACGUGUUCUUUCAUUUCUUUGAUCAGUGUUUUGUAGUUCUCAGAGUAUACAAUUUGGACUUUUUUUGUUAAAUUUAUUCCCGAGAAUAUUAUUCUUUUACUGCUAUUGUAAAUGGCAUUGUUUUCUUAAUCUCAUUUUCAAAUUGUCCAUUGCAAGUGUAUAGAAAUACAAUUGAUUGUUGUAUAUUGAUUUGUAUCAUGCAAACUUGCUCUAAUUGUUUAUUAGUUCUAAUGGCUUUUAAGUGGAUUCCUUAAGAUUUUCUGUAUCAUGCUGCUGAUCAUGUCAGCAGCAAUAAAGAUAGUUUUACUUUAUUUACAAUCCAGAUGGCUUUUAGUUCAUUUUCUUGUCUGAUUGUCCUGGCUAGCCUCUCUACUACAAUGUUAAAUGGAAGUGGUGAGAGCAGAUAUCCUUGUCUUGUUUCUCAUUUUAGAGGAAAACCAUUCAGCCUUUCACCAUUACGUAUGGUAUUAGCUGUGAGUUUUUCAUAGAUGCCCUAAUGGGGCUGAGGAAAUUCCCUUCUAUUUCUAGUUUGUUGAGUCACCUAACUCCUGAAAGGUAUCUGUUAUGUUUACUUGCUCUUGCAUCCCUUCUAGUUUAGUCUUUAAAUCGUAUCAUUUUUCUUUUACUUCUAAUUCUUUCAUAAGUUCUGUCACCUUUCUUUUCAAAUUUUCCUUUCUUCCAAUCAUUUCGUUUUUGAGUUUUCCCCAAUUCUAAUGUGUUAUUCUUUAUAUCUUCUAUCAUUUUCUUCGUUUAGGUUUUUUCUAAAUAUUAGGUUAUCCAUCUUUUUGUGGUCAUAUCUUUUUGACACAAAUUUAUUGUUUGUAGAGAUGUUGUUUUGUUCCCCUGUCUUUCUCUCUCUCUCUCUCUCAUUUCAUCACUUUGUAUGGGAUUCUUUAAUGUUUUCCUGUUGCUAAUUUUUGAGGGAAAUGAGUUUUCUAUUAUUUUAGAGUGCUGGUGGUAGUUUUGGAUAUCUCUUCUAGUUGGAUGACUCUUGCACUCACUCCUUCUGUUGUUGUCAUGGCACUUAUCUGGACCUUCUCUUUCCUUUGCCCCUGUUGCUCCUGACUGCCCAAAUUGAAUUCUAUCCCAGCAAUUUCUUCUCAUUGCAGGGCUUUGUCUCGGGAGGGAGCUUUGAUGAAACGCUCCAGCCUAACCACUCUCUCAGAUGGCUGUGGGGCCCCAGUUUGAGCUUGCUGGGCCUCUUCUAUUCUCAGGGCUGCCAGAUGCCUGCUGGCUUCCCUCUGCUUCCUCCUGUGCUAAGGAUGACCACACACAGAUCUUGUAGCUGUGGGUGCUCUGGCUCCUCAUAUUUUGAGGUUUGUGGAGGAUACGUUGUCACUUAGUUUGCUUCACAUGUUGCCCAUGGGUUUUUGGGUUCUGGUAUCAUAGUUGCUCUGUUUUUUAUAAGGGGAUUCAAGGAUAUUUAAAUACCAUGCCUUCACCACUGCCAUCUUCCCGGAAUCCUUGUAAGCCAUUUACAAUCCUUCCUGAUGUGAUGUAGGCUAUAAAACAAGUGAUUAAAUAAAAUGUAAAGUUCUCCUUCACAUACGUUAUAAGCCUUUAUGUUACAUGUAAAUAAUUCAUAUAUACAGAUAGAUUCUAGUCAAAAGAGAAAUAUAGCUGUUUUUGCAGUUCCUGAGAAGCUACCUGCAUAUUAAUUAGCUCUUUAAAUUCGGGGUUUUGGAUUUUGCUCCUCCCUAUUUCUAGGGAGGUCCACACCUCAAACAUUUCAGAAAGAUGAGAAUCGGAUAUGAUCCCAAGGCAGAGAGACAGCUUUCAUUUCUUUUCUUGUCUGUUUCCUUCACCCGUGUGCUUUCCUCACCUGUGUGUCCCUUGUGUCCAUCCUCAAUGGAAGUGGAGAAUGGUGGUUUGGGAUCAUGCUGUAAAUAUCCUCAGGGGCCACUUGACAGUCUUUCCCAAGAGAUCUAAUAAUCUUAAUAUCACAAAUUAGACUUAUCUGUGAAUUUUCUAUAAGCAUCAGUGUUUCUUUCAAUAGGUGUAUCCCAACUGAGUAGUAUACUUUGAUAAUUCUACAUAUGCAUGUUGGGCAAGAAUUAACCUUUGGGCUCCUACAGGCUAUUAUGCUUGUUCUGAGAAAUGAUUAUUGCAAAUUGUUUCAACAGUCAUAUUGCAGUCACUCUGAGUCCAAGACUGGCGAAUAUUUUUCUAUUGUUCUUCACAUAAAAAGUCAUUCUCAAUAAUUUUAUUUGUGUAAUGUAUUUUCCUACUUUUAAAUUAGCGUGCAAUUUUUCUCAUUGAUUUUGAUCCGUUUCCAUCUGACCACAUUUCCAAUUUUCCAUGAUCACUCAGAAUUUAGAACGUAUUUCCCAAGGCAGAGUAGAAAAGUUUUGGCCCCUAGGUAUUGAUAACUAGGCUUGUAUUCAAUCAUUCAUCCUACUAAUGAAGUUAUGAAAUGAUACUGAAUCAGAAGUGUUCAAUUUUCUAAAUGUAAUCAUGUAUAUUUGCAAUCUAACACCACACUGCUCUGUGAAACCCUUUAAUAAAACAGCUGUGAUGUAAUUGUUAAGUCUACUUUUGGAAUCUGUAUAGAUAGCACAUGAUAAACAUGUAGUUGUUAUUGCUCAAUACUGUUGAAGGAAGAGAGGAAGGAAGGAAGG